AGGGCAGGGCAGGGUAACGCGGCCGGAGCGAGGGCGGGAGCCGGGCCGGAGCCGGAGUCGGAGCCGGGGCAGGAGUCACCGUCGCGGCUGGAGCGGAGUGAGCGGCGUGUUGAGAGGCGAGCGGCGGCCGAGGAAACAUUGUACCGUUGGUGAAGCCAGCUCAGGAGGCGGCGCGCCCCCCUCUGGAGGACGAGGGCCUCACGCUUGCACGUCUGAGUGUCCGGCCUCCCUCGCAGGCUGCUCUGCCCGGGUGUGUGGAGUCACAGGGAGGGGCUGAGUCUUGCACGUAGGGGCAGCAGAAGAGCAUUCCGUGCAGGUUUGUCUACGGAUUUUGAGCAUCUGAAGCUGCCCUGCGAAUCUAAGCACCGCCCGCUGCGCCCUCGCCCUUUGAAGCGAUGUCUGUGGCUUACGAUGAUUCCGUUGGAGUAGAGGUGUCCAGUGACAGCUUCUGGGAGGUCGGGAACUACAAGAGGACCGUCAAGCGGAUCGAUGACGGCCACCGCCUGUGCAGCGACCUCAUGAACUGCCUGCACGAGCGGGCGCGCAUCGAGAAGGCGUACGCGCAGCAGCUCACCGAGUGGGCCCGGCGCUGGAGGCAGCUUGUGGACAAGGGGCCUCAGUACGGGACGGUGGAGAAGGCCUGGGUGGCCGUCAUGUCCGAGGCGGAGAAGGUGAGCGAGCUGCACCUGGAGGUGAAGGCCUCGCUGAUGAACGAGGAUUUCGAGAAGAUCAAGAACUGGCAGAAGGAGGCCUUUCACAAGCAGAUGAUGGGAGGCUUUAAGGAGACCAAAGAAGCCGAAGAUGGCUUUCGGAAGGCGCAGAAGCCCUGGGCCAAGAAGCUGAAAGAGGUAGAAGCAGCCAAGAAAGCCUACCACGCAGCGUGCAAAGAGGAGAAGCUGGCAAUAUCUCGAGAAACCAAUAGCAAAGCGGAUCCAUCCCUCAACCCCGAACAGCUGAAGAAAUUGCAAGACAAAGUAGAAAAAUGCAAGCAAGACGUCCUUAAGACCAAAGAGAAGUACGAGAAGUCUCUGAAGGAGCUGAGCCAGGGCACACCGCAGUACAUGGAGAGCAUGGAGCAGGUGUUUGAGCAGUGCCAGCAGUUCGAGGAGAAGCGCCUGCACUUCUUCCGGGAAGUCCUGCUGGAGGUUCAGAAGCACCUAGACCUGUCAAAUGUGGCCGCCUACAAAAACAUUUACCAUGACCUGGAGCAGAGCAUCAAAGCUGCCGACGCGGUGGAGGACCUGAGGUGGUUCAGAGCCAACCAUGGGCCAGGCAUGUCCAUGAACUGGCCGCAGUUCGAGGAGUGGUCCGCAGACCUUAACCGAACUCUCAGCCGGAGAGAGAAGAAGAAGACCGCCGAUGGUGUCACGCUGACCGGCAUCAACCAGACGGGCGACCAGGCUCUGCAGAACAAGCCCAGCAGUGACCUUAGUGUCCCGGGCAACCCCGCACGGUCAGCGCAGUCACUGUCCAGCUACAACCCCUUCGAGGACGAGGACGACACGGGGAGCACCGUCAGUGAGAAGGAGGACGUUAAGGCCAAAAAUGUGAGCAGCUACGAGAAGACCCAGAGCUACCCCACGGACUGGUCAGACGAUGAGUCCAACAACCCGUUCUCCUCCACCGACGCCAAUGGGGACUCAAAUCCGUUUGACGAGGACGCCACCUCGGGGACAGAAGUGCGGGUCCGGGCCCUUUACGACUACGAAGGGCAGGAGCACGAUGAGCUGAGCUUCAAGGCCGGGGACGAGCUGACCAAGAUAGAGGACGAGGAUGAGCAGGGCUGGUGCAAGGGGCGCUUGGACAACGGGCAGGUUGGCCUGUACCCAGCGAAUUACGUCGAGGCCAUCCCGUGACAGGCCAGUGGGCUGGCUGGCAGAGGGAUGGAGGCGGAGGUCCCAGGAGCUCUGUUAGCCAUAGGCCCCGGGCAGCGGCGCCUCCGGCCAGCCGUGGGGGCAUCCACUCCUUUUCCUGCAAAAGAUGAUGGUUCCAUUGCUCUUGGCUCCAUAGUGUCUCUUGAAGGCAGACGAGCGGGUCCUUUCAGCUGGGACUCGGUGCAGAUGGAGAGAUCUGAGCACAGGAAGAAAGACAGCACAGCAGACAUGGCUGGGCCCCUCCCUGCCCCCGCUCCCCCGCGCCGUGUGCUGGCUUAUCAUGGAUCUGUAUGUUCUUGGCCUUGUCCUUCCACCUCUCUUCCCAGCCAGCGGCGGGCUACACUGAUUCUGGUUCCACCAGUUACUUUCUCUGACAAGUCCCAUCACCUGCAACUUAAAUGAACAAACUUACAUGCCGUUUUCUGAAUGAAGACUUGGAGGUUUUUAAUUUAAAGGCUGUGUACAGUUAUAGUUUUUUAUGUACCUGUUCUUCCAUUCAUUUAUCCUUAAAUUAUGGCACAGAUCGAUGUACACGAGUCUUGAGGAAACAGCUCUAUUUCCAUGCUGUACUGUCAACCAGCCGUGCCACUGCCUGGGGCGAGCUGCAAGAGCUGGGAGCUCGCUCGGACAGACGAUGUUUAGGCCAGAGAGUGCACGGGAAGGCCGGAACACAUGGCUGGGUUUCUGUUGCGAUGCUCUCCGCAUGUGGGGGGUCCAAAUGGCAUUUCCGGAAGUAACUUACGUAGUGCUCGCUAAAGUCGCCGUAUUUAAAAACUAUUUUCACUCUUACUUGUGCUUAAUACUUUACUCUUACAAAUUAACGAUUUCAUCAGUGAUUUGAAAGGUUAAAAAUAAAAAAUAAGAAGACUAACUUUGCAAGCAAAUGCAUCUGUAGUUGAGAUGCUUUGUACCAGGCUCUCGUGUCUUGGUGUAUAUCUGUACAUGUUAUUUGAUAUUCAGAGAAUCUAAAGAGCUCGUCUACUGUGUUAAUGAGAUUUAACAGCUUUUGACAGUGGGUUUAAUUUGUAAACUGCUUGAAGACCGUGCGUUCAGGCCCAGGCGCUCGGGCUCCAGGCCUCGGAAGCGGAGCCCGCUGUGGGGAGACCUGUCCUCACUGCCCAGCUGCGGGCCAGCUUCCAAUAACCGCCUUAGUCCUCUCCGCGGCGAACACUGUACAAGCUCCUGAGUCCUUGCAGCAGCUGCAGAUCUCAUAGUCGCCCGUAUCCCUCUCGAGCAGACAAAAGCUGGGUCUCACCCCCCAGCACAAGGGUCUCCUCCAAGUGUCCGCAGCCAUCAGGGAGCAGGAAGCUACACUGUAAUCACAGGCCAGGGAGGGAGGGGAAAAUCUUUAUUUUGUGCUACUUGGACAUUGAGAAAUGGCUGCCGCCAUCACAAGCUAUGCAUUUUGUUCAGUGUUUCCAGGGAGCUUGAUGUCUUACUUGGAAAGUGGAUGUGUGUGUGUCUGUCAUGAAAACUUACCAGCAGAAAUCCUCAUUCCUUUGCUACAGAUUUACCAAAAAAUUGUCAAGUCUUUGCAGUGUAGGAGUUUCUUUAAAAUGUAGAGUAUUUUAGAAAAAAACGUCAAUAAACAGUUGAUCUCA
rnacentral:lncRNA from 1 species